rnacentral:rRNA from 1 species
CGCGAAAAAUUGGAUCGCUAAACAUGCGAGUCGAGAGGGUUCGGCCCUCGGCGGACUGCUCAGUACACGUGGACCCUUUGGCCUUAGGUGGAGGAUAAUCUCGGGAAACUGAGAAACCUUUCCAUAGAUCUAGGAUGCUGGAAUGCACUUAGAUUGAAAGUUCCGGCGCCUAAGGAUAAGUCUGCGGACUAUCCGGUUGUAGUCGGGGGAAAGACCUGACUAGCCUACGACGGAGACGGGUUGUGAGAGCAAUAACCCGGAGACGAUAUCUGAGACACGAUAUCGGGCCCUACGGGGCGCAGCAAGCGCGAAACCUUCACAAUGUGCGAAAGCGCGAUGAGGGGAUCCCAAGUGCUUGCUCGUAAGAGUAGGCUGUUUUUAUGUCUAAAAAGCAUAAAAAGUAUAGGGCUGGGUAAGACGGGUGCCAACCGCCGCGGUAAUACCUGCAGCUCAAGUACCGACCGCUAUUAUUGGGCCUAAAACGUGCGGAGCCGGUUUGGUAAAUGCCUGGGUAAAUAGUGUAGCUUAACUAUACGAAUUCCGGGUAGACUGCCAAACUUGAGACCGGGAGAGGCUAGAGGUACUCCUGGGGUAGAAGUGAAAUUCUGUAAUCCUGAGGGGACCACCAGUGGCGAAGGCGUCUAGCUAGAACGGGUCUGACGGAGAGGGACCAAGCCCUGGGGCGCAAACCGGAUUAGAUACCCGGGUAGUCCGCGGAGUAAACGCUGCUUGCUUGAUGUUAGUUGUGCUCCCAGCCCAAUUAGUGUCUGAGAGAAGUUGUUAACCAAGCUGCCUGCGAAGUACGAUCGCUAGAUUGAAACUCUGAUGAAUUGACGG